rnacentral:rRNA from 1 species
UAGCGGCCACAGGAACCGGGAAACGCCGAAACCCAUUCCGAACUUCGAAGCUAAGCCGGUUCACGAUGUUGUCUGUACUCCGUUUCGCGGGGGAAAACGCAUUGCUGCU